rnacentral:rRNA from 1 species
UGGAGGAUCGCCGUCGAUAGGAGGAGGUGGCAACAUAACGUCCUUCGUGGUCGGGAGUGCGGCUUGCACCACUCCCGCGAGCUUUAGUGUUAGCUUCGCCGAUCUUUGGACAUCAGCACGCCAUCCGGCUGAAUACCCUUCGUCUGCACAUUUCUCCCCUCCG